GCACCCGUAGCUCAGCUGGAUAGAGUACUUGACUACGAAUCAAGGGGUCGCAAGUUCGAAUCUUGCCGGGUGCACCA
rnacentral:tRNA from 1 species